UAAUAAUCGAGUGUACUCGUAUAUUUUUGGAAAUAGGGUCCAAAAGUUUCUACCAAACUACCGUAAAUAGUUUGACUACGAGGGUAUUGAU
rnacentral:ncRNA from 1 species